AGCAUUUCUUCUUCAUUGAGCAAAACAUUAAUUUUUAGGUCAACAAAUCUUCGGAUUCUUGACAAUUUAUGUGAUAAAUCGCCCACCACCAUGAUGGAAUUUAUCUGAUAUACCUCAUUAUUUUUCCAGUUGUUUAAUUUUUUCUUCAGGCUUUCAUAAUUUGUCUGAUAGGAAUGACUUUGAGAUAUUGACUCAUU
rnacentral:rRNA from 1 species